rnacentral:rRNA from 1 species
AUUGAACGCUGGCGGCAGGCCUAACACAUGCAAGUCGAACGAGUGGCGGACGGGUGAGUACUGUCUGGGAAACUGCCUGAUGGAGGGGGAUAACUACUGGAAACGGUAGCUAAUACCGCAUACCAUCGGAUGUGCCCAGAUGGGCUUAGCUAGUAGGUGGGGUAAAGGCUCACUUAGGCGACGAUCCCUCGCUGGUCUGAGAGGAUGACCAGGCACACUGGAAGUGACACACGGGCCAGACUCCUACGGGAGGCAUCGGUGGGGAAUAUUGCACAAUUGGCUCAAGCCUGGUACAGCCAUGCCGCGUGUAUGAAGAAGGCCUUCGGGUUGGAAAGUACUUUCAGCGGGGAGGCGUUACCCGCAGAAGAAGCACCGGCUAACUCCGUGCCAGCAGCCGCGGUAAUAC